AUAGCCAGCAGGAGGUAGCAUCAUAGCCUGGCGUGAAUACCUGCCUCCAUUGGGGCUUGUUUACAUCUUGGGGACGAGUCAACUCAAUGGCAACAGGUCUCAGUGUGCUAUCAUCGCUGAGGAAGAAUAGCGCUCGAGAAGCAUAUAAGGUGCUAUCAUCCAACUCUCUCACUUUGUUCACAUACGGCAGAAGCAAAUCAUGAUAGUCCAACAUGAACAAUCUCUUGUUCUCCAGAGCCUGCAUGCACACAUCCAUUGAUAUUUAUUCAUUAUGGAAAUACUCCAUAUGGAUGGAUGGAUAUAUGUUUUUUUUCUUCUUAAAACCUGUUAGAUAUUUAUUAAUUUUUUUACCUCAUCAAAUGACAUUACUAUUUGAAUUUUUUGGGUAUUUGUUUGGAGUUUCAAGUACUUUUCGUGUUUUGGAUAUUGUUCAGAUUUUUUAGAUAUUUCGAACUUUUUUAGGAUCCUAAAUACCCGAACAGAUGUGGACCCAUUACGUCCAUAUCAGGUCCAACAACCUUUUGAUAUAGAUUUUUAACGUUAUUGUACAAAAACAUGGUUGAUGAAAUAUUUUUCUGAGAAAAGAUAUCAUAAGGAAUAAUAUUAGGAUCUGUUAAAAAUAUUUAAAAUAUUGUAUGGUUAGAAUGAUUAAUGGUAUUACCAAAAAAAUAAUAAAUAGUUAUACAUGACUCCAACAACUUUUUUAUAUUAAAUUUUUUAAGACUUCUUCCUUUUUAAUAGUAUUGAUUCGUUUUUAAACGAAAAGUAUAUUAAAGUAUAAUAUCUAAACCAAUAAUUUUCAAAAUCGUGAAUAAUCAAUACUAAUAUCGUGAAGUCGGUUUAGCUUUAACAGAACCAAUGAAUUUCUACAUUUUUGUGAAGGAAUAUUCAGAAAACUCAUUUUUAAAUAUGAAAAUAUCUAUCAAACUAUAGACGGUUGAAAGUUUAGUAUAUGAUAUGAUAUUUUAGUGGAAAAAUUUAUAUAUGAUAUGAUUACUUUAUUAUAAAGGAAAGAGGAAGUUAGAAUGUACACAUAUAUGUCGUGUAACUUCUCUUGCUUUAAAUCAUAUAUUAUAUGAUAAAAGUGAUGAUAUAAAAUAUUAGUUUCAAUGCUUUACUAUUAAAAAUCAAAAUGGUAAUGAUUAGGAUUUAGGAGUGAUAUUUGAAUAAAUAAAGGAAUUGAAUCAAUUAUUGUUAGAGAAAUAUAUGGUAACAUAUUGUUAAUCUAAGUUUAAGGUAAGACCAAAAAAUAAUGAGUUAAAUGGAAGGGUCCAAACAACUUUCAUAGGUAGAUUUUUUAAGACUCAUUCCCUUUUAAUAGUAUUGAUUUUAGUUAGACUGAAUAAAUUUAUAAAAAAUAAUUAUAUAAUUUAUUAUUUAAUUGAUUACAAAUUAAUAUUAUAAAUAUUAUCUCAAAAAUAAAUGGAAUACAUAUUCGAAAAAAAGAAAGAUAAUUCCAUAUAUUUAUUUUGUGUUUAUCUACAUCUUUUAUUUUUAUUUGUUAAUUUUAUAAUUAGGUGGUAUAUAUACACAUAUAAUAAUUUUAUUUAUCAAUAUACUAAAAUAAUAAAAAUAUUUUAUGAAAAAUAAAAAAAUGAUUAAUAUUUGUUUGUAAAGGUAAUAUAUCAUGGAAUAUUUUUAAACAAUAUUAAAUUUAUUUUAAUAUUAAAAUAGGUAUGUAACCAAUAAUAAUAAAUUUGAUUCAUAUUUGUUUGUUAAAAUAAUGUUUUUUGGUAUUUUCAUUUUUAUUCUUAUUAUUCAGUUGCAAGAAUAACAUUUAUUUGUUAUCUAAGUUUAAAAAAUUAAUAUUAUUUGUUUUUGUUUUUAUAAAUAUUUUUUAUUGCGCAUGAAAUUAUUUUAAAAAUAUUUUCAAAAUAUCUGCUUCUAAAAGAGAAUAUUUUAAAAAUAUUAUUUUUAUUUACAAAAAGUAUCUUUUAUUUAUAUUUGUUUUAAAUUAAAUCUAUUUGCUUUUAAUUUUUUCAAGAGUUUUAGAGAAUUAUAAUUUAUUUAGAUUAAAAUUUCUUUAAAAGACUAUAAAGUAAAGAAAAUGUGAUUUUAUAUUAUCAAAACUGUAUUUUCCAAAAUGGUAUGUCUUAGUUAUAACUAUUAAAGUUUUAAAGUUAAAAGACCAUUUGAAAAUAACAAUUAUGAUUUUAUAAUAAAUAAAUACUAUUUUAUAAGAAAAUAGAAAUAUCUAUUUUAAAGUAAAAAAUAUAGAUUGACUGUAGCUUAUUUUUCUCUAUUAUACUAUUUAGAAAUGAAAAUAACAAUAAAUAGGAAAUGUUCUUCUUUUAUACAUUGCUUAUUAAUGUUUUGUUUGACAACAUGGUUGGUAUGUUUGAAUGUUUAUUUAGUUAUUAUGAGAGGUAUUUUAUUAUAUAAUUAUACAUAUAUCAAUAUUUUUAUUUACUUUUAUUAAUAUAAUAUUUGAUUAAUAUAAUAUGUAAAUUUGGGUUCGGUUUAACAUUCUUGUACUUUUGAUUUAUUUUGAAAUUUUGUAGGUUUUAAUAAUUCCAAGAAUUUGGUUUAAUAACAUCACUUUAUAUUAACAGUUAUAUAUAUAUAUAUAUAUAUAUAUGUCUAUUUAAUUAGAUCAUUGUGUAUAAUAUAAUAUAAUAAUAACUGGUUAAAGAUAAUAACAUAUUUUAAAAUAAAAUAUCAAUGUUGUUAUCCAAAACUAAUGUUUGUAAAUUAAUAAAAUUAAAAAUUAAAAAAAUUGAAAGAUUCACAAAAUAGUAGAUUUAUUAUUUUUAAAUUGAAAGAUUGACAAAAUAUUCUAAAUUUAAUGUUUUAUUUAAAAUUUUUGAUCUUUAAACUUGUAGUCAUUUAUUAUUAAUUAUCUAUAAAAGAAUUAUGUAUCCAUGUGCGUGCAAAACACAUAGUUUCAUUAAUAAAGUUUCAGUAUUUCUUUAUGUUUGUUUGAAAAUUGAUUCCCUUUUUUUUUAGAAUUUUCAACAAUUUUCUAAAAGUUUUCAGGUUGUUUUAAUAGGCCUUACUUUACUAGACUUGAAUACAAUCUUCAAUAGGUCAGGCCAACUUGGUGUACUCGUUUCCCUAGGUCCAACAAUAUUUGGUCCAAGAAACAUAAAACAAGGUACCCUUGAGCAGGUUGAGAUUCAUUAUUUAUUAAGAAAGCAAGAAACAUAGAUGAUAAUUUGGAAGAAACAUAGAUGAUAACUUCCAAUGCAUUUGAUCAAAAUGCGUUAGAUCAAAUAGACACACUGUAGGGAACACCCAUCCCAGUAACGCCUGGUUCAGAGAUGGGCUUUAAAAGCUCGUACUUAACAACACCUGCUCCAGUUCGAUUCUUUAGAGAAACAUUCACGUUCCUCUCAUCUAUCACUCCUUCUAGGUAUUGGAGCUUGCCUUUGAAUCGUUCAUAUGCAGCAUAGAUGAUAGGUUCGUGGGCCCAAGAUGCUUCUGGGUUUUCUCCUAGGUACUCUUCAUCUGGUGAAUGUGCAGAUAGAAGAUCCAAAGUCAACAUCACUUUGGUCGCCUGCUUCUUCGACGGGAAUGUCUUAAGCAUGGUCUUCUCUGGCUCCUCAUAGAACUCUUUUAGCACUUCCUCUGUCGGCUCUUCCACUGGCAUUUUGGUUCUUGCUGUGGUUGGUCGGUUGGGAAAGUAUCCACCAUACCCGUACUGUCCAAAGUUUACAGCUGCAUGGUGACCUGAAGCCACCCAUGCAAUCGUGGUCACCACUUCAAUCAAGUCUUCUUGUGUUUUGAGGACAGGCCACCAUGGUUCAUUUUUCUUGUCUCCAUGCCCUAUGUUCCUCACUUCACUCCACCAUCCUUGGAGUUCCUCAUCCAACAUAACCUGUUCCGCAUCUGGAUAAUAGUGAUUCACAUAGUCUGUUACCCAUUCCUUAAGUGCAUCCCACAGCAUUAGACCGUCAUUCGCAAAUGGGUAAUCUGGUACCGGUGUUCGAGAAGCAUAUAAGGUGCUAUCAUCCAACUCUCUCACUUUGUUCACAUACGGCAGAAGCAAAUCAUGAUAGUCCAACAUGAACAAUCUCUUGUUCUCCAGAGCCUGCAUGCACACAUCCAUUGAUAUUUAUUCAUUAUGGAAAUAUAUACUCCAUAUGGG
rnacentral:lncRNA from 1 species